ensembl:lncRNA
AUUGGUUAUGAAUAGGACCAUUUCUUAGACUGAAUCGUAAAAUACAGAAGGUGACAUUUUCCAUAGAAAAAAACAUUUUGUUUCAUUUAACAGCCCAGGUGAACUAAUUAAUUCUAUCUAUUAUUAAAUCACUUUUCUAUUUCCCACACAGUGACAUAUUUUGACAUUCACUUCAUAGAGAUAUGAAACAGUGACACUGCACUUGUACUCUUAUAUAAAUGGCACGUAGUCAUCAUUUUCAAAAGAUUUUUGGUUAUACGGAUGUUUAUACAAAGCUUCUUGUAGACUGCAUGAGCUCAUAAUAUUUGGAGUUUCAGUCUAAUGAGUAUUUCUUUGUUGCACUCAGAGGACUAUGGAGUCCUUAAACUGCUACAUAGAUAACAAAAGGCAAGCAAGAAAUGGAACGAGAGAUCGCUGUCCCUAGCAGCAUUUUGAUCUUGUCUCAUAGACUGAAUACCGCUGAAGCCUGUGUAGCGGCUUUGCUCCACUACACCCAUCUCCAUUUUGACAUCCCUUUCUCUGCAGAGGCCGCUGGGACUGACAUAGCCAUCAGCAGAUGUUGAUCCGGGUCACAAGAGCGAUGUCAUGUGAUCGAGAACCUGCAAAUGCCUUGGUGGAAGAGUGGAGUAACAUCUCACAGCAAGAACUGAUGAAUCUGGUGCAGUCCAUGAGGAUGAGAUGCUCUGUAAUACUUAAAGCAGCUGAUACUGACUAUUGCUUUUAAUAUUGUCCCCCACUUUGUUCAGGGACUCAUUAUUCCAUUUCUGUUUGUCAAAGGUCUGUGAAACUUGUUCAGUUCAUGUCUCAGUUGUCGAAUGUUUUUAUGUUAAUACAAAUAUUUACACGUGAUAAGAAAUU